rnacentral:rRNA from 1 species
UACGAAGGGGGCUAGCGUUGCUCGGAAUCACUGGGCGUAAAGCGCACGUAGGCGGCUUUAGUACUAGGGGUGAAAUCCUGGAGCUCAACUCCAGAACUGCCUUUGAUGACUGAGAGCUUGAGUUCGGGAGAGGUGAGUGGAACUGCGAGUGUAGAGGUGAAAUUCGUAGAUAUUCGCAAGAACACCAGUGGCGAAGGCGGCUCACUGGCCCGGUACUGACGCUGAGGUGCGAAAGCGUGGGGAGCAAACAGG